CACUCCUUUUUCCUACCCCGGCGCCACCCACCGGUAUUCCCAUCCUGCGCUCGGGCCCUGAAAAGAACCAUCAGCCCCCAAAGGAGCCGCCGGACGAACAUAGCAAGGCAAAACCGCCGCUAAGACGAGCCCCUGAGCGCUUCAGCCGCCAUCUUGCCAGUAGCCUCCCUCGGUUGCUGUGGAAACGACUGGGAGGAACUACCUCACGUUGCUUGCUCUAAAGAAUAAAAGGCCUGCCACCUUUCCAAAAACAAGCCCAAAGUGCUUCACUACAUUGACAGCAAAGGCUAAGACUUGCUGACAGCACCUCAGCAGGUUAAGAAUAAGUUUCUCAAGGAGCAGAAGAGCCUAACAACGACUAUAAAAAAACUGGAACACCAGAAGCUGAGCAGACUGAGACAACUGGAGGAGGAGAAAAAGCAAUUUGGUCUGCUCAUGAAAAAGAAGUUAGCCCCCAGGGUCACCAUCAGGUCAGGGUCAUCCAUUGCCAUGGAAAGAGACACCCAAAGGACAUUCUCCAGCAUCCAGUUUUCUUCUCUGGCUUCAAGUAAGAGCAGCUGGAAGAGCCUAGGCAGCAAGCCCAGCACCAAACCAGGAGCUGGCUUCUUUUCAACCAUCAGCAGAGAGUUUCCUUCAACUCAUACUCCAAACCUUUGCAAAGCCUCCAGUCCUUAUUUCCCAGACACUGUGCCAGCAGCCACCAUAUACAAAUGCCCACACAGCAAGAAGCGUCUAAAAAGAAGCGAAGGCUACAUGCCUCUUCUUGGUCACACAAUGCUGUCCACAAACUUUCACGGAACCAUUGGCAAGAGGAAUUAAUGUUUAAAACUGAAAGGUAACCAGAUGCAUUCUGUCUCCAUUGGCAAGAUAGCACUUAGUCCCAUUUGAAAGGUGGUUUAGGCUUCAAUCCUGUGCAAUGGGACUUCCUUUUGAAGGGGCAUGUACAGGAUUGCAGUCCGUUUCAUGCAUAAUUCUGUUAAUAACAUGCAAAUUUAGUGAGAGGUCGUGAGUAAUAAGGGAAAGGAGGAGAUGCUCCCAUUACGACUGAAUAAUGUAGGCUUGUAAACAGUUACUGGCCUGGUUGCAGGUGGGUAGUAAGAAUUGCUUGCUGGAAGAAUAUUGUAUAUUAAAAAUAAUUCAGUUCCUCAACCCUUUUCUUUUCAGGCAUUUAAUAGAUUUCAAACAACUAACACACAUGUAUGCAUGUUAGAAACUUCAGCCACUGAUGUUAGAGUCUAGUUCAGAGCUGUUUUUUCAGAGUGUGACUCCAGUAGCUUCUGGUCCACUCUUGAAUCAAUUCAAAGUGCUCAGACGGGUAGCCUGGCUGCUGCUCACCUCAGCUUGACUCAGAAAGGAGCCAAGUUGCUGUCCAAAAUAUUGGAAAUGCGGCUAUUUUUCCAGGCCAACACAUAAUUCGUACAUCACCCAGUCUGCAGUGGCUAGUGCUCACUUUGGGAGCCUCCUUUGCUGAAUAGAUUAACCUCCAGUUUUAUUUCAUUUUCACAGACUUCUAGUGUGUUUCUAGAUGCAAUUCAAAGAGCCAAUAUCUUACCUAUAAAACCUUAAAUGAUUUGGGACCAGGAUGCUUGAAGGACCACCUUCUCCCUGGUAGUCCUGACUACCCACUGCAUUCAGUGUUGGAGGCUCUGCUAUGCCACCACUUUCAAAAGCACAACUGGUUGGAACAUGAGAAGAGCCCUUUUCUAUGGAGGCAUCUGACUUGUGGGCUUCCCUCACUAGAGGUUUGGUUGGUCCCCUCUCUUUUAAGCUUCCUAGCAAGCCAAGACUUUUGUUUUGUUUCAGUGACCUUUUAAUGUAGGUUAAAGUCCCAUCUCUGUUUUUAUGCUGAAUUGUUUCAUACUGCUCCUGGUUUUACUAUGCAAUGGUAAUAUUUUGAACUUUUAAAAAUUGUGACUUAUGUAUUAUUAUCUUCUUUGUAAGCAGAUUUGAGUUUCUAUUAUAUAUUUUGGAAAGUUGUUUGUUCAUUAUAUAUUUGGAUACCUCUUAAGAUGUCAUAACCAAAUUUUGCAUGAUGGUUCCGAAGAUCAAGGAGGAAAUUUUGAUCUGUUUUUGAUCUACAGUUGAAUCAAGAUGGGGGACUAAAUCUUUCAAAACUGCACUGAUUUUGUUUGUUUGCUAGAAUUCGAAAGCAACACCAGGUACAAGGCUGCUAGUACUGUAUUUUGUAAAGAAAAGUGGAAUUUAAAUAAAUAACUAUGUUGUUAGUAGGCCAGGGGAUUGUGCACUUGCUCCUACCCAUCUUUUGCACAUAAAUCCAACACAUUGGAUUUUUAUGUCUGUUCACCAGCUAUGGUUAAGAGAAUGCCAACCCUGAGUCAGGGUGCUCCUAAGCUCCAAUGCAGAGCUUUAGAAGAGCCCUUAGCUAGGAUUAGCACAAGUCAGACACAGUGUUGAACCACAGUACACAGGAUGGGAGACAAUCACAUCAGAGGACCUUCCCCAUGUGCCUCAUCCAAGAGAGGUGUGGCCACACGGGAAAAGGCCUUUUCAGUGGUGGCCCCCAAGGAAACACAUCUGGCACCAUCGUUACCAGUUUUUAGGCACCAGGCAAAGGCCUUUUUAUUCACUCAGGCUUUUGGUAAGUAAGCUGCCCUCUACAGUGGUGCCCAUCUUUUAGUGGGUAGGGUAGGACUUGUCCUUUUUAAAUUUAAUGGAACAAAAACAAAUCAACAUAGUAAACCAUCAACUGUAAACAAAACAAACAAUAGCCAGUGGAGAGUCCAUAUCCAAUUUAUCACAAAGUAAUCCUUAAUGCACAAAUUGAAUGAUGCAUUGCAUAUUUAUC